GCCUGUCUGGUGCUUUUUGGGUUCAGCCUCGAGCCAGUCGGGGCCGAUCGCUAGGUGCUUUCCAUAAUUUUUACGACAGAAAAAGUAAUAACAUAUUCUCUAGAAAGACAGAAACAAAUUCUUCUUUUUUCUAAAUCGAAGUUACAAAGUACUUUUGAAUUUUACAUAAAAAAAAAAAAAAAAAAAAAGGAGUAAAACAAUUGCAAGCCUACCGCCAGAUUGCAGAUCAGAGUCAUUGACUUUGCUGAAGUCGAACAAGGAAUUGGCCUCAUUUGCCUCGUGGUCUCCGUGUGGUAAGGACCUACUGUAAUUUAGAUUUUCCACGAAUCCAUUUCGGUAACGUUACACUUUUUUAAUUCAUCCACCGGUGAAUUUGAUUGGGUGUGAGGAUGAUUGGGUUGAGUGUACUGACAAGUGUGUAUUUAGUGUAGAAUCCAGAUUUUCAAAAAGCGUGGCAGUGAUCAAGGGGCAACCACGUGUUGGCGAUUCUUCCCUGCGUCUGAGAGGAAAGCAAUGUAAUCGGGAUUGAUGUAGUACGACAACGUGGAUGCGAUUGGAUUGGAGUUGAAUCGUUUUUCUUCUUGGCGCCAUGCGAAGGGAGAAGCGAAACGGACCUUUUGUGUUACGACCGUAGACGUAAAAGGGGGCGUCCAAACGAGUGUGUGGCGUCUUUUUCUUCGAGACAGGCCAACCAGCAGAAGCGCACCAACAUUUUUGCCAAUCUUUUUUCCAUCCAGCGGAGCGCAUUCAUCAUCGCGGAGGAGGGGGCUGAAGGGGCUCUACGUUUGUGUCGCAUCGUUCGCCUUCAAGAGAAAAACACGGCGGAAUUUAUUUUAUUUGAGUUUUUUUUUUUCCUUGGAAAAAAAUUAUGAAUUUUUUGUUGUUGUUGUUGUUGAGGGGUUUUCUCUUUUAUGUUGGCCUGUUGUUGUCGCAUGGAACGCUUUUCUGUGUGACGUUCACACGAGGAAAGUAAACCGUUGGGACGUUGUACCUUGGCCUAAAACCAGCACGACGUUCAUCUUUUUUUUCAAAACAUUUCUUUGCAACAGGUUUCGCUUUCUCUGCUUUCAUUUCGAACAGCGUCACACGAACGCUGUUUAACUCGGCUUCAUUCAUCAAUGCCAAAUGCCAUUCAUCUGCUGUGUAAGAACUUUGAAUUUGUCUUCAAAUGGACGUUAGAUUUGAUUGGGUCUAAACAAAUGAAGAGACUCUUUACAGUAGAUCGAAUGUUUUGUUUGCCUCCACCAGUAGCCCCGAUGAUACUUGUUGUAUACUUAGUCGACGCAAACUGUGGAAGAUUUACGACCAUGUUUGUGUGGUCUUAUGCGCUGCCAACUUGAAAUGUAAAAAUGGUAAAAACAGAGAAUGGGAAGCAACACAAAUAAUCAACAACGAAAAAAGAGGAGCAUUUUUCACUCAACAGUUCGGUUGCUUAUAAUAGACAGUGACUUUUACGACGGUCUGCGUUUUCUUGGUCUCACACUCCCCUCGCACCAUACGACAGUUUUUGCCUCCCCUUUUGUUUUGUUUUUUUUUUGUCUUCUUUGGCUGUUGGACGAUAUUAGCGAAUCAGGACACCCGCGAUGGUUUCUUAAAAAAAAAAUAAAACCUUCUGGUUUUCUUCAACUUCUGGAUAACUUUUCUUCGCACCCUUUCUUUUUGUGCUCACCCUCACUAAAUUCUCCCUUUAAAAAGUCUUUGAGUACAUCUGGUGUUAAAUAAAAUAAAGUGGGAAAAAAAUAAAAUCAUAUUCUUUUUUUUUUGCUUAAAACCAACGUCUAGGGAACAGGACAGCCUUUGAAUAAAUUAGGAAAAUUCCGCAUAGGAUUGGAGAGCGCGAAUUAGUUUGGAAUAUUUUUUAAAAACCAUCUGGAUUUUUACUGUUUUAAUUGAUCUAGCGAAAUAGGUAGCGAAUCAACACGGUAGACCAGAGGACUCUGGAGUAGCACCCGGUCAACUUGCAUUUAAAAAAAAAAAGUUUGGAGUGGAAGGAAGCAGCUGAUAAAAAUAAAAAGUGAAAAGAGGAACCGACCUAGUUUGACCUGAUUCUGGACCAGCCACUGGCCGUUUUUAGGAACACGUGCCCUUCAAUGAAAAGGAAAAGGGGUUCAACUCUUUUGAAAGCGAAUUUCAAUGUCUAUAAUAACUGGAGCAGCAAGGUCAGAUCGUUGGGGGAGCAUUUUUAGAUUUUUUCAUAUAACUGUUGGAUCCUCUUUGUCUUUUGCCAUCGGUCUGCCCUUAACACAACGGAUAGCGUUCCACUCUCUCCUUCUAUUUUCAGUUCGCUUUUGCUUUUUAUUUUUCGAAUUUUU